UUUAUUGGCAUUCUGUCCACCUCCAUCUCUAUCUAGCUCCAUCCCAUACAUAUGCUCUCUCUCUCUCUCUCUCUCUCUCUCUCUCUCUCUCUCUCAUGUAUAUAUACAUAUAUAUAUUGGAGAUGAUGAUGAUGGAGUAGUGGCCGGUGGGGAGGUGGGCAUACUGCCAACUGAGCUCUGUUGGAUUCUCUUUGCAAAACCCUCGUGAUGUAUAUACGUUUAUCAAUAUCACCUGCCCAUCCAAAUCCCUCAUCAUCUCCUCUAGCUUCAUACUUUUUUGUUCUAACAAAUUGUCUUUCGAUCGACCUACCGAUCCUAUCUAUUUGAUUAAAAAUCGAUCAAGAAAUGAAAAGACCCAUCUAAUAUAUUCACACACACACACACACACACACACACACACACACACAUAUAUAUAUAUAUAUAUAUAUAUUUUUCAUAUAUGUGUGUAUUUAUUUAUGUUUACAGAUUGAUUAUUAAGUAAUUGGAGCCAUUUUCUGCGGGUAUUACGAUGGAGCUGUUCACGCAUCAUGCCCAGAUGAAAGACCAUGAUGAUCGCCCAUAUAUAGAUGUUGAUGAUCAUGAGAUGAAGCAUUCAUUCAUCAAUCUCUGAAGGCUCGCAACAAAAAUCGAAGCCAAUCGCUGUAGAGAUCUUCUCACUGCUGUGUUCUCUGUGGAUCUGUGAUGGCCCGUUGAUUAUGAGUUUCAAGCAUUCAUGCAUGCCUGCCCCCCAUUUUAAUUUUCUUAACACACGCAUAACUAACAUUUGUUAUUCAAAUUUUUCUUUUGUGGCAAUAUAUCUCUUUACUUGGUAAUGGAUAGCUAACUAGCUAAGGUAGGGUCGAGCUGUAACUAGGGUUAUGUAGCCCUUUAUUAUAUAUAUAUAUAUAUUCCGAGUACGUAGUACGAAUUAGAUAUACCCUAGGCCAUAUACGUAGGCUCAUGAUUGAAGUCUGACAAUGGCAUUCAUUUUAUACUGCAUCCUCACAGAGAGAGAGAGAGAGAGAGAGAUAUCAAUUUUUCAGCAGAACCCUUAGCUAAUCCAAAACUGGUUCGAAAG